CAUUUUGAUUUUCUUAUAAAUAAUUCACAAUUUUUUUUUAAAUACUUCAGUAAGGAACAUUUUGCCCUAGGAUAAGAUUUUGACGCCAACUAAAUAUCACCAUUCAUCAACACCUUUAAUUUUCUUUUCAACACAGACUACAGAUAUGCCUUGCAAAAUGAUAAUGAGAUUGAAGAUGAUUUUGUAGGUAAGUCUGUGUUCCAUUCUAGAUAGCGUUGUGUUGUAUAUUGCUGUGUACUACUAGGGCGUGCACGGUUGGCUGUCCGGAACAUCCGGAACAAUUGGAACUGCAACCGAGUAAGGCAGAACAGGAUCGGAACACUGUUCUGGACAUGUGCAGCCUGUCCCGCCAGAAGAGGUGGUGGGAGUGGAACAAUGACGUAAGCAAGAUGGCGACAGCAUGAGUUCAACUCAAGAUUCCCUUAUAGCCAAGUGGACUUGCUUUAUGUGUAAACAACACCCGACAAUCUACUCCUUAGAAGCAUUUGAGGAACAGGAAGAAAGUAAAAAAUAUAUUCCGUUGUUUGUUGACGGAAAUUAUAGGAUAUUCCUUCGGUGCACCCUAUGUAAUAAAACAUUCCAUGCACACUGUGCCAUCUACGACACACUAGAAUUGCUG